rnacentral:lncRNA from 1 species
AUGAGGCCUCACCUCCUGGCUACACUAGUGAACAUAUUCAUCGUGCAUCCCGCAAAGGCGGAGGUGUUGCUAACAUUUACGAUAGCAAAUUUCAAUUUACAAAAAAAAAUGACGUUUUCGUCUUUUGAGCUUCUAGUCAUGAAAUCUAUGCAGCCUACUCAAUCACUUUUUAUAGCUACUGUUUACAGGCCUCCUGGGCCAUAUACAGCAUUCCUCACUGAGUUCCCUGAAUUCCAAUCGGACCUUGUAGUCAUAGCAGAUAAUAUUCUAAUCUUUGGUGACUUUAAUAUUCACAUGGAAAAGUCCACAGACCCACUCCAAAAGGCUUUCGGAGCCAUCAUCGACUCAGUGGGUUUUGUCCAACAUGUCUCUGGACCCACUCACUGUCACAGUCAUACGCUGGACCUAGUUUUGUCCCAUGGAAUAAAUGUUGUGGAUCUUAAUGUUUUUCCUCAUAAUCCUGGACUAUCGGACCACCAUUUUAUUACGUUUGCAAUUGCAACAAAUAAUCUGCUCAGACCCCAACCAAGGAACAUCAAAAGUCGUGCUAUAAAUUCACAGACAACACAAAGAUUCCUUGAUGUCCUUCCAGAUUCCCUCUGUCUACCCAAGGACGCCAGAGGACAAAAAUCAGUUAACCACCUAACUGAAGAACUCAAUUUAACCUUGCACAAUACCCUAGAUGCAGUUGCACCCCUAAAAACUAAAAACAUUUCUCAUAAGAAACUAGCUCCCUGGUACACAGAAAAUACCCGAGCUCUGAAGCAAGCUUCCAGAAAACUGGAACGGAAAUGGCGCCACACCAAACUGGAAGUCUUCCGACUAGCUUGGAAAGACAGUACUGUGCAAUACCAAAGAGCCCUUACUGCUGCUCGAUCAUCCUAUUUUUCUAACUUAAUUGAAGAAAAAAAGAACAAUCCGAAAUUCCUUUUUGAUACUGUCGCAAAGCUAACUAAAAAGCAGCAUUCCCCAAGAGAGGAUGACGUUCACUUUAGCAGUGAUAAAUUCAUGAACUUCUUUGAGGAAAAGAUUAUGAUUAUUAGAAAGCAAAUUACGGACUCCUCUUUAAAUCUGCGUAUUCCUUCAAAGCUCAGUUGUCCUGAGUCUGUGUAA